AUUGAACGCUGGCGGCAGGCCUAACACAUGCAAGUCGAACGGUAACAGGAAGAAGCUUGCUUCUUUGCUGACGAGUGGCGGACGGGUGAGUAAUGUCUGGGAAACUGCCUGAUGGAGGGGGAUAACUACUGGAAACGGUAGCUAAUACCGCAUAACGUCGCAAGACCAAAGAGGGGGACCUUCGGGCCUCUUGCCGUCGGAUGUGCCCAGAUGGGAUUAGCUAGUAGGUGGGGUAACGGCUCACCUAGGCGACGAUCCCUAGCUGGUCUGAGAGGAUGACCAGCCACACUGGAACUGAGACACGGUCCAGACUCCUACGGGAGGCAGCAGUGGGGAAUCUUGCACAAUGGGCGCAAGCCUGAUGCAGCAAUGCCGCGUGUAUGAAGAAGGCCUUCGGGUUGUAAAGUACUUUCAGCGGGGAGGAAGGGAGUAGAGUUAAUACCUUUGCUCAUUGACGUUACCCGCAGAAGAAGCACCGGCUAACUCCGUG
rnacentral:rRNA from 1 species